GGCUCAGUGGUCUAGGGGUAUGAUUCUCGCUUUGGGUGCGAGAGGUCCCGGGAUCAAAUCCCGGCUGAGCCC
rnacentral:tRNA from 1 species